AACGGCCAUACCAUGCUGAAUAUACCAGUUCUCGUUAGAUCACCGAAGUCAAGCAUCAUUGGGUGCGGUCAGUAUUUGGGUGGGUGUGACGAACCUUGGGAACACCGCGUGCCGUU
rnacentral:rRNA from 1 species